UACGGAGGGUGCAAGCGUUGCUCGGAAUUAUUGGGCGUAAAGGGCAGGUAGGUGGUCUCAUUUGUCAGGGGUGAAAGCCUUGGGCUUAACCCGAGAAGUGCCUCUGAAACGGUGAGACUAGAGUUCUGGAGAGGUGAGUGGAAUUCCCGGUGUAGCGGUGAAAUGCGUAGAGAUCGGGAGGAACACCAGAGGCGAAGGCGGCUCACUGGACAGCAACUGACACUCAACUGCGAAAGCGUGGGGAGCAAAC
rnacentral:rRNA from 1 species